UACGAAGGGGGCGAGCGUUGUUCGGGAUCACUGGGCGUAAAGGGCGCGUAGGCGGCCCUCCUUGUCGCGUGUGAAAGCCCCGGGCUCAACCUGGGAACGGCGCGUGAGACGGGGGGGCUGGAGUUCGGGAGAGGAGCGUGGAAUUCCUGGUGUAGCGGUGGAAUGCGCAGAUAUCAGGAGGAACACCGGUGGCGAAGGCGGGUCUCUGGGCCAUUACUGACGCUGAGGAGCGAAAGCGUGGGGAGCGAACAGG
rnacentral:rRNA from 1 species